UACGGAGGGUGCGAACGUUAUUCGGAAUCACUGGGCGUAAAGCGCGCGUAGGCGGUUUGCUAAGUGGGAUGUGAAAUCCCCGGGCUUAACCUGGGAAUUGCAUUUCAAACUGGCCGACUAGAGUACGGUAGAGGGAGGUAGAAUUUCCUGUGUAGCGGUGAAAUGCGUAGAUAUAGGAAGGAAUACCAGUGGCGAAGGCGGCCUCCUGGAUCGAUACUGACGCUGAGGCGCGAAAGCGUGGGGAGCAAACAGG
rnacentral:rRNA from 1 species